GAUGAACGCUGGCGGCGUGCUUCACACAUGCAAGUCGAACGAAGCACUUUAUUCGAUUUUCUUCGGAGAUGAAGAUUUAGUGACUGAGUGGCGGACGGGCGAGUAACGCGUGGAUAACCUGCCUCACACUGGGGGAUAACAGUUAGAAAUGACUGCUAAUACCGCAUAAGCGCACAGUACCGCAUGGUAUGGUUUGAAAAACUCCGGUGGUGUGAGAUGGAUCCGCGUUUGAUUAGCCAGUUGGCGGGGUAACGGCCCACCAAAGCGACGAUCAAUAGCCGACCUGAGAGGGUGACCGGCCACAUUGGGACGGAGACACGGCCCAAACUCCGACGGGAGGCAGCAGUGGGGAAUAUUGCGCAAUGGGGGAAACCCUGACGCAGCGACGCCGCGUGAGCGAUGAAGUAUUUCGGUAUGUAAAGCUCUAUCAGCAGGGAAGAAUAAAUGACGGUACCUGACUAAGAAGCCACGGCUAACUACGUGCCAGCAGCCGCGGUAA
rnacentral:rRNA from 1 species